AGAGUUUGAUCCUGGCUCAGAUUGAACGCUGGCGGCAGGCCUAACACAUGCAAGUCGAACGGUAACAUUUCUAGCUUGCUAGAAGAUGACGAGUGGCGGACGGGUGAGUAAUGCUUGGGAACUUGCCUUUGCGAGGGGGAUAACAGUUGGAAACGACUGCUAAUACCGCAUAAUGUCUACGGACCAAACGGGGCUUAGGCUCCGGCGCAAAGAGAGGCCCAAGUGAGAUUAGCUAGUUGGUAAGGUAAUGGCUUACCAAGGCAACGAUCUCUAGCUGUUCUGAGAGGAAGAUCAGCCACACUGGAACUGAGACACGGUCCAGACUCCUACGGGAGGCAGCAGUGGGGAAUAUUGCACAAUGGGGGAAACCCUGAUGCAGCCAUGCCGCGUGUGUGAAGAAGGCCUUCGGGUUGUAAAGCACUUUCAGUUGUGAGGAAAAGUUAGUAGUUAAUACCUGCUAGCCGUGACGUUAACAACAGAAGAAGCACCGGCUAACUCCGUGCCAGCAGCCGCGGUAAUACGGAGGGUGCGAGCGUUAAUCGGAAUUACUGGGCGUAAAGCGCACGCAGGCGGUUUGUUAAGCUAGAUGUGAAAGCCCCGGGCUCAACCUGGGAUGGUCAUUUAGAACUGGCAGACUAGAGUCUUGGAGAGGGGAGUGGAAUUCCAGGUGUAGCGGUGAAAUGCGUAGAUAUCUGGAGGAACAUCAGUGGCGAAGGCGACUCCCUGGCCAAAGACUGACGCUCAUGUGCGAAAGCGUGGGUAGCGAACAGGAUUAGAUACCCUGGUAGUCC
rnacentral:rRNA from 1 species